AUAUUACUAAGCGGAGGAAAAGAAAUCAACGAAGAUUGCCCUAGUAGCGGCGAGUGAAGCGGCAACAGCUCAAGUUUAGAAUCUGCAGUCGUGUGUGGCUGCCGAAUUGUAAUCUAAAGGGAUUCACAAAAGGGGAGGUAGAGGCAUAAGUUCCUUGGAAAAGGACGUCAAAGAGGGUGACAACCCCGUAUGCAGCCUUCACUGAACCGAAUGUGAGUUUUCUGAGAGUCGGGUUGUUUGGGAUUGCAGCCCUAAAUGGGAGAUAAACUUCUUCUAAGGCUAAAUAUUUAUGGGAGACCGAUAGCGCACAAGUA
rnacentral:rRNA from 1 species